GGGGGAAAAGAAGAGGGGGUCGCGGGGGUUAUAUAGACGUGCUUGGGCGUGAAAAUGGAAGGCCGGAGGAGGAGAUUGCGGCGGCGGGCGCGCGGGGACGGCGGCCGGAAAUCGCGGCAGCGGCGCGGCCGCUUUCCUUCCGGGGAAGAAGCCCCUGACAGGUCGGCCCCACCUGUCAGCGGGUGCGGGCGCGCGCGGGCGGGAGGCUGGGCCGGCUGGGCUGCGGCGCGUGCGAGGGAGUCGGGCCGGUUCGGCCCAAUUCGGCCGGGCCGGUCCGUUUGCUCUUUUUUUUUCUUUUUUUAGGCCUUUUCUUUUUCUGUUUUUCUCAUUUCUUUGAUAUCUUUUGAGUUUGAACUCCAAAUUGGUCCAAAUAAAUCCCAGAAAAUUUGUAAAAUCAUGUUAUACCAUGAUACAACUUUUGGAAGUAGUCUCCUCUCAAAAUAAAAUUAUAUAAAAAUACAUUUGCCCUAUAAAUGCCUUUAGGGCUAUAUAUCCAUUUAAAUAAAAUAUUUUUUUCAACUCCAAAUAAUUAUCCAAAAAUUAUGGGAUAGCUUAUAUAUGCAAUAAACCCCUUUUAUCCUGAACCUUAAUGGUUUGAAGAUCCAAAGUUCAAAUGGGUGUAAACCCUAGGGUUUAAAAUAAAACAAAAAUCUUUCCAAAGCCCUCUUGAGAUUCAAAUUUGAAUUCAAAUAUGCAAUUGUGGCAUGAUGCUUAUGAGUGAAAUGCUCAUGUAAAGGUUUGA
rnacentral:lncRNA from 1 species